CCCUUAGAUGUUCUGGGCUGCACACGUGCUACACUGGCAGGUUCAGCGAGCUUCAUGCCCUGAUCUGAAAGGAAUGGGAAAUCUUUUCAAAACCUGCCGUGCUUGGGAUAGAUGUUUGCAAUUAUUCAUCUUCAACGAGGAUUGCCUUGUAAGCGCACGUCAUCAGCGUGCAUUGAAUACGACCCUGUAUUCUGUACACACCUCCCGUCGCUCCUACCGAUUGAAGUUUUCGGUGAGUUGACAGGAGGAUUUUUUUGAAACUGGUUCGCCAGUGGAUUUUAGAUCCAAAUGCCAACGAAUCGAUGGCUUUAGAGGAAGGAGAAGUCGUAACA
rnacentral:rRNA from 1 species